rnacentral:tRNA from 1 species
GGGGAUGUAGUUAAAAAUAACAUCUAAUUUGCAAUUAGAAAGUACUUACUUAAAAGUCUUCCUCA